UGCUCACACACGCAUCUCCAUAACGCUCAUUAACACUCAACUUGUGCUACUUAGAAGCAAUUGUCAGGGAGCGUUCAUGGAGUUGAGGCAGAGUUUGUGGGGUUGCUGUAUUUUUUUGUCUCUCGAGGAUGUUGCGACACAAGACAAAGCCUGUCAGAAGUUUGCGGAGGAAAGGACCUUUUUACGCACGCGAGAAAAAUCACAGUUGGCUGAUGGAUAGUUUGUAAAUACUUCUUUUUUUCCUUCUUAGUGCAGUAGUUUUAUGACUGUUGUGUUUGUGUUCUUGCGAAGUUGUCUUUCUGCACUAUGGGAAUUCCGCGCAGUGCAAUCAGGUGUAAAGUCUCCAAGAAACAAGAAACGGUGGGAAUUUAAGCAAUUUAACAAGUACAGUGCUUGCUUCUGAUGGAUUAAGAAAAUAAAAAAAGAUGUGUAGAAAAAAAAACACAUGGAAGAUGUACAGAUUCACCUAUCAAGCCAUUUUUAAGAUGAAAUGAAGGAUUAAGAGACUGUUCACUUUUCUUCUGGAUGAACAUGAAGACUUAUCUCAUGAGGAUUUAGACUUCAGCAGCAGCAGCAGCAGCGCCAGUCGGAUUGUGUUUUAGGCACACUUGGAAAUCUAAACCUCAUGGAGAUACUUUGAGGAUUAUAAAAGAUGUGCAUGUAGAAUGCCACAAUACAAGACGCGUCCUGGGCCAAAGUCCUUGGGAUAGCAGGAUAUUGCUUUCCUGAUCCUUCUCAGCCCUCAGCAUGGGGAGUGUGGGAGUGGUGAGGUCUGGGAGAUCACGACCUUAAUUCUCUCCAAGACAGACGGUUUAAUUAACACUGGAAGAAUCCUCACUGACUCCAGACCUCUACAGUGAGAAUGUACAGGGGAAUUGGCUUGCCAAGGUCCUCUUGGCCAUAGACUGAAAUGCUGACAGACGAUGCCCAUGAAUGAUGAAUGAUGACUGGAGGUCUGUCUGGUGCCAGCAGAAUGCAUAAUACAGCAUCAAUACAGCAAUCGCAGUCCUCCUCAGCAGAAACAUGGUGCGGUUUCUGUAUCACAUUAUUGGAAGAUUUGCCCCAAGCAGGACAGCAGGACCACUCAAAGUGGAAAUCAACCGCAAUGUUGAAUGUUGUUUCGGGUUGGAGUCCUAAAUGAAGCAGCAUUACAAAGAGUUUUCUGGUGUGUCAGAGUGAGGCUCAGUGGGAAAGAUUGCUGUGUCUAGACAGGAGUGUGAGGUGCAGAUCUACACAGAAGCUUACAGGAAACUGAAGAAGACGGGUGAGGUUAAAGAGGACAGCACGAUGGAAAAAACAAGAAUGAAAGCAGCCAGUGAUGAAUAUUAACUUUUGUGGAACAUUUUGAGCAUUUGCAUCACUAAAAGUUCUCAUAUAUAGCUGUUUGUCAUCGCCUUAAACUGCAAGAAUUUGAUUUUAAAAAUAAGGGUAUCAUGUAGCGGUUCGAGAGUCUAAGUUAGAAGCUCGAAAUAUGCAAUCACAUCUGUAAGAGUUACAUUUCGCAGCUCAUUGUAUCACUGACUGCAAAAUAAAG